UACGUAGGGUCCAAGCGUUAUCCGGAAUUACUGGGCGUAAAGAGUGCGUAGGUGGUCAUCUAAGUCAAGUGUUAAAUCCGCGGGCUCAACUCGUGAUCUGCACUUGAUACUGGGUGACUUGAGAUUGGAAGAGGCAGACGGAAUUUACGGUGGAGCGGUAAAAUGCGUAGAUAUCGUAAAGAACACCAAUGGCGAAGGCAGUCUGCUGGGCCAUUUCUGACACUGAGGCACGAAAGCGUGGGGAGCGAAC
rnacentral:rRNA from 1 species